rnacentral:tRNA from 1 species
GUGGGUAUAGCUCAAGUGGUAGAGCACAUGCUUAGCAUGCAUGAGUUCCUGGGUUCAAUCCCCAGUACCUCCU